GGGGAAUAUUGGACAAUGGGCGGAAGCCUGAUCCAGCAACGCCGCGUGAGGGAUGACGGCCUUCGGGUUGUAAACCUCUUUCACCCAUGACGAAGCGUAAGUGACGGUAGUGGGAGAAGAAGCACCGGCCAACUACGUGCCAGCAGCCGCGGUAAUACGUAGGGUGCGAGCGUUGUCCGGAAUUAUUGGGCGUAAAGGGCUCGUAGGCGGUUUGUCGCGUCGGGAGUGAAAACACACAGCUUAACUGUGUGCUUGCUUUCGAUACGGGCAGACUUGAGGCAUGCAGGGGAGAACGGAAUUUCUGGUGUAGCGGUGAAAUGCGCAGAUAUCAGAAGGAACACCGGUGGCGAAGGCGGUUCUCUGGGCAUGUUCUGACGCUGAGGAGCGAAAGUGUGGGGAGCGAAC
rnacentral:rRNA from 1 species